ACAUGAUUGCCCUCAACUUUCAGAUUUGGAUGAAACACUCAACUUCGAUUCUUCUGGAAGUGCGAACAAGUUAGUCAGUCCCCUAUGGGAUGAACCUUAAGAAUGAGAAGCAGGAUCUGGGCAAAAUCAUCUCCCCUCUCUCUACUUGAUGGCUUCAUGGGGCAGUUCCUUCUCCCUCAUUCUAAUAAGGAAGAUGCUGUGUUGUGAGCUGUUCAAUGGAGAUCUCCAGUGUAGCAAGAAACUCAGGAAAGCCUGUGGUCAUAAGCUAAGAGUAACUGAAUUCCAGCAAACUGGGAGCAACCAUCCUGCUGACAAUCAGAUGAAUUGCAUUCUACAGCCUUCCAUCUACUAACAAAGCCUUUGCCAACCAGGAAGGUCCUACAACUACCCAGGACUUUAGGUGACCUAUUCCAUUGGUCCUAAAAUUAUGCCGCAUUAUAUGGGCCAAGCUUGUGUUUUGGAGCCCUACCUAUCCAUGGUGAAGGACUUCUUUUCAUGGACACCAACAGAGAUUUCUCACCUAAGCUUAUAUCUUUGCAGUUAAUACAAUCAUGGGAAUGGGUUUGUGUAUGAGUUUCAC
rnacentral:lncRNA from 1 species